GAAAUAUUCUAGAGAAAUUCUAGGGAGUCCCAUAUUAAGAAAUACUCUUUCAAUUUGUAGUACACUUAAUGUUCAACGAGAAAAUUACAAUAAAAUAAUAAUAAAAUAAAGCAAAAAGCAUAAACUGUCAAUAAAAAUCCUCAAAUCUCAAAAAAUCCUCAAAAUCCACAUUUAAAGUAAAAGUUUAUACAAAUUUUAAACUAAUAGUUUAAUUUUUAUAUUAGAUUUUAAACCAAGUUUUUAAUUGUUGUUAUAAUAAAAAGUUACUUAAGCUUUAUGCAAGUAUAUAUUUAUGUAUUUAUUUUGCUUUCAUAAAUGAUGCCUACCAUGGCCAUAUUUAUGGCACCAUAUCUUUUUGGUAGUUUUGAAUAUUAAAAAAAACUAACAAUUUGAAGUCAAGUGCUUUUACCUAUAUAAUCCACAAGCACCCCGCUAAUCAAAAAUUCCAAGAACGUUUUGAUUAAGUGUCAUAUCCUGCUUGUUGCAUUGCCAUUUUAUGGAUGUUUCUUUUAAUAGCGCACUCAAUCAAUAAUUAUCUGAGACCAUCUAGACCAAUCAAUAGAAAAUAUUAUCCAGACCAAUCCAUUGAAAUGUAGCAAACUGUCAUUGAAAGACUUGUCCUAUGAAUUUUUUGCACUAUUUUUUAUUUUAUUUUAAUAAAGUCACUCUUAGCGGAGCAGUAAGCCACCACUAAUUAAGUUUCAGGUUAAGUAAAAAAAAAAAAAGAAAAUGAUCGACAAAAAAACAUCAUCCAGAUUUGACCAGAAAUUUUUUCUGCCAAUAUGCGUGUCCAAAUAGUAGUUGUAAUCUACUAGACCAAACCACAGAUGAUGAAGAUUUAACUCCAACUUUUGGAUUUUCACAUAUAUUAUAUUUUAAAUAAUACUUUUUAAUUUGUUUAAAACACUAGCAUUACAAAAGUUUAAUAUAGUUUUUAGUUUUAGUUUUUAAUUUUUUAUAAAACUUUUAAGAUUUUAUUUACAGUUUUUGUUUUAUUAAAGUUAUUUAGUUGUAUCAUUGCUUAUGAUAGUUUAAACAUGUAUAAAUAUUUUUGCUGUUUUUGUUUCUUAGUAUGCUUGUUAGGCAGGGCAACCAUAUUGUUGGGUGAACAUUUUUUUUAAUGUUUUGCUAAAGUUAAUUAGUUAAUAUUAUAGUAGAUUAUAGUAAAAAAAAGUAAUUAUAUUAGGUGAUAUUUCUCUUUUACUGACUUAAAUUUAAAAUAUACAAAGUAAAGGCAUAAAGAUCAAAGAGUAAACAUUUAGUUAAUAAAUUGUUCAAAUUAAAAAGUAAUUUAUGCAAAAGCACGUUUCAAAAAGAUGUUUUUAGAUUUAGUGCUGUAUUAGUUAAGGAUUUCAUUAGCAUUGCAAUAUGGCGCUUAAAGUUUUGAUUUCUUUGUAUAAUCUGUUUACCAUAGAUAUAGGUUAUAAAAUUUAUAGCUUUUAUAGGUUAUGAAAUUAAUAAUAGAUGUAGGUUAUAAUAAAUUAUAAUGAAAUUUAAAGGUUAAGCUUAAAUUGUCAAAGUUUUAUUUAAACAUUAAUUCAAUCAAGUGAUUUAUUCAAAAUUGAUUUUCUAUAAAUCUGUUUAAGUUGAAUUUUAUAGUUCAAUUUUAGUAUUAGACAGUUUUUUAAUAUUUAAAGUAAUGGAAACAUCUGCUAACGAUGGUAAGUGUUGAUUAAAUAAAGUAUUGUAGUUUAUAACUUUUUAGUUUAUGUUUAGUAGAAAUUUAUAUGCAUAUCUUUAUCAUUUGAUAGUUUAUUUUAAGUUAAAACUUUACUUUUUUUAGCAUCAGACCAGAGAUUUGCACUAAUAUUGUCAGAAUUAGCCGCUUUAAGAGCAGAAUUAAACAAAGAUGCAUCAAGCUUACCAACUGAUCAGGGUUCUUCAGUCAUAUCAUCACCUCCGGCUCAGGAAGUAGUCAACAACCUUUCUAGUUCAACAAUUUCUGAAAGGACUCUGGCUUUUUGUGUUAUUGAUGUCAAAAAUCUGACUUAGGAUUUCUUUGGGGUACUCCCAAUGAUGGCAUCAAGGAUUCAAAUGGAUUUUCAUUUAACCAGUUCUUGCUUUGGCGUAAUACGCAUCCUGGUCCGAAGACGCUCAAAGCAUUUAAUGUUUGGGCCCGACAAGGUGGCAAAGACCUCCCCAACUUUCGAUGGGGAGGUAGAACUGGGAGCCGCAAGGGUCGCGGACAAGGUGGCCGAGGAGGUGGCGGUAAAGGGUCUUUUGUACUAGGGCGUUGGUAUUUUCAGCUCUAGUUUUUAUUUUAUGUGUAGUUUUAUACUUAUUUAUGUUGAUGUUGUUGCUUUAUAAUUUUAUAUAUGUAUUUUUUAUUUGAAGUAAAAAAGAACAACAUUUCUUAUUUAA